CAGACUAUACUUUCAGGGAUCAUUUCUUUAGUUGUUGACUGGAGAAAUGUGUUUCUAAAGAGUUUGGUCUCGCUGUCCACGAUGAAGAGUUCAGAUGUUUCCUUCAGUGCAGGAAACUGGUGGGAAGAUUUUGUUUCUUCUCCACUGUUGAAGAUUGAUCAGAGACUCUCUGAUGGAGGAAACAUGUUCUGAGUGGA
ensembl:snoRNA U3 Small nucleolar RNA U3